UCGAAACCCACCACGAGCAGACCGCGAACACGUAACCAACACACGGGACUCCCAAUGGGCUGGACUAGUGCCACCCGUUGAAGCCCCGUCCCCGCCGUGUCCUCUCGCGAGGGAGUGUGCCCGGUGGGGGCCAAACAACCCACGGCGCGGAUGGCGCCAAGGAUCACAAUAGUGGAGUGCGUGCCCCUCCCCACACGACCCCGUUCGCGGCAUGCUGUGUGGGAGAUGCGCGUCUCCCUGGAUUGAAUAAUUCUGAAAU
rnacentral:misc_RNA from 1 species